UGGGCAGCAACAUCUCCGUCAACUUCCCCCCAGGCCCCUCACAGUAUGGAAGAAGUUGGCUCGGCUUUUUUCAGACACGUGUUUGCUGCUCCCUCACACUGAGGCUAGACACCACACUGCUCCUGCUGUCUCUCUUCUUUCCCUCCAGAUCUGUCCCAGAUUUGUUGAUAAUCAUGGUGACACUGGCAGCCAGCCUCCCUCUCCUCGUGUGACGUCAGAAGCAUUCCUCCCUCUCAGAGAGAAGCAGGUCAUGUGGAAGAGAGACGACCCACAGGACAUGGGCUGAGGAGCAGAAAGCCAUAGGGCUGCCUAUAGAAAGGAAGAGAGACAGCUCAGAUCCUCGGAGUCCAGCACUAGUGAGUUCCCAAGACCCAUCUCAGCUCUGCCCACACUUGUCCACCUGUCCAGCGCUAUGAGGGGCCUUGUGGCUGCUGGCUUUACCCUCCUCUGCACCACAGGCCCACGGCUCCUAUGCACAAGGUUCAAAAAGACGGAGCGCCUGGGUGGCACAGCGGUUAAGCGUCUGCCUUCAGCUCAGGGC